CCUGUUCUGGUCCCGUGUCUCUCUCUCCCUCUAUCAUCUUAGAGGUCCACUGUUUGUUCUAAACAACCCUUAGACCGUGUUAUAAAACCACAUAGUACCUGCUAACAACAACAACAGUUUAGUCCGGAGGUUACAAAGUCUUCCAAUGUCAACAUCGUCCCCAGCCUCUUAAUGUCCCAAACCCCCAGCCUCUUAAAAUGUCUUAAUGUCCCAGCCUCUUAAUGUCCCCAGCCUCUAACUCCAACAGAGAGGUUACAAAGUGUUCCAGUGUCAACAUCGUCCCCAGGCUCUUAAUGUCCCAGACCCCCAGCCUCUUAAUGCCCCCAGCCUCUAACUCCAACAGAGAGGUUACAAAGUGUUCCAGUGUCAACAUCGUCCCCAGGCUCUUAAUGUCCCAGACCCCCAGCCUCUUAAUGCCCCCAGCCUCUAACUCCAACAGAGAGGUUGCAUAAUGAUUUGAAUGAAUGUUAGUUUUCUGUCGGACCAAAGGUUGUUCUGAAUGAAGCACGUUGAACACUGUCCUCCUGUCUGUGAGGUUACACAGGUGCUGCUCACUGUCUUCCUGUCUGUGAGGUUACACAGGUGCUGCUCACUGUCCUCCUGUCUGUGAGGUUACACAGGUGCUGCUCACUGUCUUCCUGUCUGUGAGGUUACACAGGUGCUGCUCACUGUCUUCCUGUCUG
ensembl:lncRNA